GACGAAUCGUGCGAACGUUGUUCGGAUUCACUGGGCUUAAAGGGCGCGUAGGCGGACGGUCAAGUCGGGGGUGAAAUCUUUCAGCUUAACUGGAAAAGUGCCUCCGAUACUGAUCGUCUCGAGGGAGGUAGGGGCAUGUGGAACUUCCGGUGGAGCGGUGAAAUGCGUAGAUAUCAUUUGGAACGCCAAUGGUGAAAACAACUCGCUGGGGAAGUGCUGACGCUGAGACACGAAAGCCAGGGGAGCGAACGGG
rnacentral:rRNA from 1 species